AAGAAUUAAAUUAACUUAGUGGCGGACGGGCGAGUAACACGUGAGCAACCUGCCUCUUACAGGGGAAUAACAACGGGAAACCGUUGCUAAUACCGCAUAACAUGUUAAAAGGGCAUCCUUUUAACAUCAAAGGAGUAAUCCGGUAAGAGAUGGGCUCGCGUCCGAUUAGCUAGUUGGUAGGGUAACGGCCUACCAAGGCGACGAUCGGUAGACGGACUGAGAGGUCGAACGGCCGCAUUGGGACUGAGACACGGCCCAGACUCCUACGGGAGGCAGCAGCC
rnacentral:rRNA from 1 species